rnacentral:lncRNA from 1 species
UAGGAAGGACCAGGUUGUUUGGGGAAGGUAUAACUACUACAAAUCCAAAAACUGAUGGAGCAACAGAAAUUGAGGAAUUUACAGUAGGAGAGAUGCCAUUUCUUUCUCGCACUGGCUUGAGAACUUGAAGCUUAUACACGCUAUGGUGGAGUUGGAGGUGACGUUGGUGGUGGUUGUUGUGGUGGUAGAGAUGCAUAUGGUGGUUAUGGUGCUAAGUUUGGGUUAGGUUGGAC